GGUAAGUUGUGAGUUUACAGCACAAGCCCAGUUGCCAUGGGUCUAGAAGAAGCAAGUUUUAGGUUGACCUCACAAUGCUCUGAGUGAACUGGUAGCCAGGAUGCCACUGGAAUAAGGCCCAAUAGAAGAAACGCAAUACUUAGCAGCCCAAUGGCAUGCUGCUCCAUUGUUGUCUGGUUCAUGGGACACCAAUCCCAUGCUGACAUCAGGGAGGACCGGUAGCCAUGCACAACAGGUAUGAGACAUGGUCCAGGAAUGGAGUCCUGUGAGAAGACUUCUGAGUGCUUGUGAGAAUAUUCCUAAGAGUCCGAUGGCCUUGUGACCAAAGUUUCUUCAAGAUCCCAAAUUGUCCAUGGACUGUGUUUUCAUGCUCUUUUCCUGGUGUUUUGGAUAGGAAUGAGUUUACUUCAGAUUGCUCAUUAUUGCUUCCUGUUGAAAUUUAACUAAGGUUUAAACUACCCUUUAUAUGCCUUUAUGGAAAAACAUAAUUUGGCAACUUGUAGCUAGUUCUUGUGAUUGUACACAGCUUGAACUCAGGAGAAUUAUAUAUUGAACUUGAGAGUGAUUCCAAUAUCUGAGGCUUUGAAAGAAAAUGGCUUUAGUAUAAGCCUUUAAUACACGUUAUGUUGGGCUCCAUUCUCCUAGGUCCUACUGCCUGUAGAGCACUGGCAGACAGGUGUGAAUAAACUGGGGAAACAAAGCCCAGAGGCAGGAGGAACUUAAGGUUACAUCAUAUUUUAAAUUGAGCUCCUUGAAAACACACAGGUAUUAUAUUUUCAAUAUUAAUGGUACUAGGGCUGCACUAUCAAUUCAUAAUUUUAUAUUGGGUGAUGGCAAAUGUAAACAUUUUUAUCUUUGGAUCACAGUGCUGUAUUUGUCCCUGCCCUUAAUCUGCCUGUUGGGAUGACAGUGACUCUGGAGGAGUUGCAGCACUUGUUAUGGGACACUUACUUUUGGGGUUAAUUUUAACAAAAAUCAGUUCUAUAAUUGUCUUUGUUAGGCUUUGACUUCUGUGAACAGAUACCAUGUCCAUGCUAACUCCUAUAAGGACAAUAUUCAAUUGGGGCUGUCUUACAGGUUCAGAGGUUCAGUCCAUUGUCAUCAGGGCAGGAGCAUGACAGCAUCCAGAUAGGGAUGGCACAGGCUGAGCUGAGAGUUCUCCAUGUUCAUCUGAAGGCUGAUAACAGAAUACUAGCUUCCUGGCAGCCAGGAUGAGGGUCUUAAUUCCCAAACCCAGAGUGACACACCUACGUCAGCAAGGCCACGCCUCCCAACAGUGCCAGUCCCAGGGCCAAGCACAUAGAAACCAUCACAGUAUAGUUUUGCAAUUAUAAUUACAGUAUUUCAUCAUGUAGCCAUCUUUAUCUUUCUUUAGACUGGAGUUUGUUCUAUAAACCAGGCUUCCCUCAUGUCACAGAGCUCCUUGUUUCUCUGCAUCAUGGUUCAGUUCUUCAUUUAUUGAUUAAAGUCACUGCUCCAUAGCACACUCAUAUAAAAUAGCACUGUGGUCACUGUUAGUUUCAUGUAUGAUUGUCCCUGUCAGUUUAUAACUUUUUCGCAUCAUCUUAUUGAGGACUUGGCAUCCCUUACCAGGUCUAGUGUUAGAGUAAAACCUGUAAAUUCUCAGUGCCCAUGUACACAGCAGGUGAGGGGGUGGAGAGAGGGGACUUGAGCAUCACCCUACACGGACUUGGCUCCUGCCAGGGCAGAGAUGCAUCGCCCUCAGUGAGGAAGGUCUGCAAACUUCCAGAGACAGUGUCCUUCUACAACAAGGGGGCAGAGUCAAGGGCUGGAUGUUCCAGGAACCAACAGCCAUUUUUAUUUUUCUUGUGUUGCUUAGUUCAUGGACUCGUGAGCAUCUGGAUCUGGCCUUCCUUCUAGGUGAGGAUGCAGUAGCCUCUUCAUUCAAAGAGACCUGAAAACAUGAGUUUACAGUAAAAAGUACAAAGUGUUCUGUUGUCCAUUCUGUGUAGUAGGCCACCGAUUUCUAUUGGCCUGAGCCAGGGAGCAACACCUGAGUGCCUCUCUUCCACUCAGGGUGUAUCGUUCAAAGAGUUAGCUGUAUCCCUGACCUUGCUUAUGAGGCUGGUCUCAGGCCUUGACAAUGCUGUGUGUUGUUGUUGAUGAUUUUCAGUAUCUCUAGCAUGGACUUUUGGAAAGUUCAUAUUUGUGUAACAAAAGUAUCUGUUCAUUCAUAGUACAAUAAAAAGAAAAAUAUAGCAGUAAUAGCCACAGCACCAGGAGCAGCAUCAGGAGCAAGGACAUUGUAAUUGCAAGAUCCUUUGUGGUACCUGUGCAAAUAUAAAAAAUAAUUGUUCUACACAUAUGUCCCAGGAGGCAGAAAACUCCAUUUCCAGCUAGAUAUAGUUGAAUGUAUUUGUGUCUUUUCAUUUGCUGGAAGUAUGACAAAUCACUAUGUCCUACCAGCAGUAAGCCACCUAGUCAUAAGAGGGGACCUUGCUGUUUUCCCACCUAUAAUUCCCCACCCCUCUGUUGUCUCCUGUGACUGUCUGCAUCCUCAGCAAGUUGCUCUCCGCUCUGUGGUAUCAGCUCCAGAGACUACAGCACCUCCUACAACACUUGACACAGACACAUGGAAGGGUCUCUUAAUAGAAAUGUGCAGGACUUAAGCUCUGGCUGUGCUGGCUCUGAGCUGGGUUUGAGUCUCUAAUUCCUCCUGAGUGUUCCACUCUUUCCUUCACUAUAUUUACCUCCAUCCUCCACAACUCUAGGGCUACCAUCCUCUGCUUUCUACAUCUCGUUCAAAUAUUUUAGGACUCCUGUUAGGAGUAAGGACAGGAUGGGUUUUCUAUCUGGGCUAUAUCAAUGAAUGAAUCUUGCUGAUACAUUAUCAACACCUAUAUUUAUGUCACGAAUAUAGGAUUCAAAAAAGAAUCCAGUAUUCAAAGCAUACAUGACUAAGUAGAAAAGGGUUUCAUUACCAUAUUACCUACAUGUGUUAGCUGGUUUCUCUGUGACCUCCCUCAUUUGCUGCCACGAUUUUAAUUCGCUCAAUAGUUAGGAUUUUGAUUGUUUGUUUUGUUUUAUUUUGUUUUAUGCAUGGAGGCAUUUUAAAUUACUAUUGAUGGUACCCUUUUUCCUGCUUUCUCAGGGCAAGACCAAAGUUGAACAUGACACACUGAUAUUUGAUAUGCUCCUGAGGGUCUGUUUCCCAGGAGGAUGGGCGGCUGUCCUCUGAGCAAUUUAAGCUGGGUUCCCACCAUGGGCUUUCUUGCUGGAAAAGAAACACAAGGAACAUGGGCUUGGGUCUAGAUUCUGAGUGCUAUCCAUGCAGUCUGGUAAUAAUCAUGAUUUGUGAAGACACACUUAAUGAUUAUACACCAGAGCAGACACUGAUCUCAGUCCCUCUCCAAGUUCUCUUCCUGAAGUGAAGCAUACGGACAUUCUAGUGUGCAAUUUGCCUGGUAAAUUUCCUCUUCGGGAAAGGCCCUCUUCAGUAAAGAAAGUGGGGGGAGUACAUUACGUUUUCUUCAGUCUUUUCUCUCCAGACAGAUCAGGUAGCUAGUCCAAGAGAAGGUGUGAAGGGAGGGUCCCUCAUCCUUCUUUUAAUGCAGAGGAAGGUUGGGAGCUUAUUCAGGGGAUAUUAGACAACCCUAGCCUCUAUUGUAAUUACCUUUCCACUGACAGGUGGAUACUUUUUGUACCCCAUGAAAAACAUUUUGAAGGCAACAUUGAGAUCUGGUUCCCUUAGGAUUUUGACUGACAAAAUCUUUGACGUGUGUCCAUCAAAGAACAAGCAAGGGUGUCCAAUACACACAUGAAUGUAGGCACUUCAUGACACUCACUGCUAUUAGUAUUUGAUGUAGUAUAAAUGUUUGUGUUGUGCGAAACAAUCCAGGACUCAUAUUUCAGGAAGAAGUCUGAGAUUGGAACCCCAAAUUCUGUCUUUCUGAUAGGGGUGUGAAUGCUUACUAAUUAUUAGAGGACCACUCCAAGGCUCAACUUGUAAAUGUGAUCUAAUUCUGCUCCUGAGAAGCAGAGAAGGUUGGAGAGGUCAUGAAUCUUUCAGGGUUCAGCCCUGACUUUUAUGGUGUUCAAAUUUGUGCUGCCAAUAAGGUCAUCUUUUCCAGGAUUAAGCAGGUUUUCUUUUCGUGGUUUUGUUGCUCAAAAAGGCCUUGAUCUUUUGUAUUCCCUAUCACAUUAAGAACAUUUCUAAUGCUGCCUUUGAGCAAUGUCCCUAUGGAUUUUCUCUUAAAAGAAUCAUUGAUGAUUUUACAUGACUGGGCAUGCACAGGUGUGUCGUGAUAUGAUAAUUGUUGCUCUCCUUGUAGCCUCAUUGUUGGUAUUUCAUUAAGUGGAUCUUCAAGCUCUUAAGAGAGUUUACUGUGUGAGUAUAUUUAAAAAAACAAUAUAUAUUGUUCAUGAACAAUACCUGUUAUUUGAAUUUCCUGUCACUGUGAAUGUAAAUGCAUUGUCACUAAAAAGCAGAGGACAACCAAAAGGCCCAAGGUAUCAGUGGGAAGCCCUUCAGAUAAUGCUCCUGACCACCCAUGCAGCACAGUAUUUGCCUUAUUCACACCAUUGCACAGCCAUCAAAGUUGCUACUCAUGAUCUGUUUCACUGGAGGAUGGGUGCUGUCUGUAAGCAUUCUACGCUUGUGUUCUUACUCUGGACGUCUUCACUAGAAAGGGCCUCAAUGCACAGAGGAGCCUGUGGUUGGCCUAGGUUCUUUGUGCUAUCAGUGAUCAUAGUUUGAAGUCGGUAAAUGUGUGCUUGUUGAUAAUAAUCCCUUAGAUCUCAGGAUCCACCCAGUCUCUCUGCGAGUCCUGUUUUGUGACAAGUCUUAAGUGAUAAGGUCAGUCUUUUUCUGGUAGUGUCCUCUUUACCAUGUUUAGGGUAGUAGCAGUGGCAAGUGUAGACACACUGGUUCCCCUCUUGAGAAGCAGAGAGAGCUCAGGAGGUUUUACCUGGGACUUUGUUCCCUCUGUCUAUUGUGUUCAAAUAUUCAUUGGCAAAUCAAAUAAUUACGUAGGAUUAAAUGUGGUUCCAUGUAUCUUGUUGCUUGAGGGUCUACUUGAUACCCUGUAUUUCGCACCGCAUUUAAUAUAAUUAUUAUUCCAGGUCUGUUUCCUUUCAGAUUUUUUCUGUGGCCCUUCUUCAUAUGUCUUCAGCUUGGUGUAGCUACAGGCAUGCCAGGACUUCCAGUAUUAUGAACCUGUUCUGGCAUCCUCUGCAAUUUACUGAUUGUGUAGGUCUUCAAGCUCUGGGGAUAGAUGAUGAGAGGAAGAAGUUUCAUGAACGUAUCUACCCUUCAGCCAUUGAAUUCUGUCUCUAUGUAUGGGACAUUCAUAGAGUUCCAGCAUUUGUGCUUCUGAGCACCUGAGGGACACAAUAUUCAGUUUAAUACAAACCAUGAUUUAACCAUGGAAGUGCUAGAGAGGGCAUGUUUCACUGGAGGACAGGCUUCUAACAUUUGAAGGAUUUAUGCUUGUUUUCUUCCUAUGGGCAUCUUCCCUGGAUAAGGACCCAAUGCCCCUGUGGAGAAGGAUGUGAUUUUCUCUAGGUUUUGAGUGCUGAGUGGUCACAUAUUGGGGUUUUUUGUAGUGGAAGGAAAACUCUGAAAGCAUUCUUAAUGGCAGAGAAAGAUUAAAGGGGAUGCUGCUCUCAAUCUUUCAUGAAUACUAUCUCUGAGGUGAGGAUAGUGUCCAUGUUGUUGGGAAGCUUUAGUUGUGAAGGUCUUCAGGGAAGAUACAGUAGAAGGCACACUCUGCCUUCAUGUCUUUUUUUUAAAGCAUAGAAUAGAGUUUAUUCAGGGAAUAGGGAGGGAGUUAAGAGGGUAGGACAGAGAAAGGCAGAGAGAGCUGGAGGGAGAGACAGAGACAGAGACAAAGAGAGAAAAACAGAAAGAGAGAGACAGAGAAAGAGAGAAGAGAAAUGUAGAGAAGUAGAGAAAGAGAGGAGUAGAGGCCGGCGAUGAGCACAUGGAGAGAUGGAAGGUGGAGAGAGAAGGGACAAAGGGGCAAGAGGAUAAGAGAAAGAGAGCAAGAGAGGAGAAAAAGAGCAAGAGACCAAGAGGUGCCCUCAUGUUUUUACUUUUCAGCUCCGGGCAGUUUAACUAGAGUGGUUGGCAUAAAAGUGUGAGUGGAGGGUCACUUGUACUCUCCUGAAAUGCAGUGGGGAAUUGGAAAUUGUGCAUGGGGUCAUUGUACAACUCUACUGUCUACUGUGGUCACAUUGACACUGCCUGGUGAAAUUCUUCAUAAUGAAAUAUUUUCUGAAACAUGGUUGGACUUUGGUUGCUUUAAAGUACCUCUGACUUACUUUAUUUAGCAACCCAUUAAUUUUUUCUAAUGCCAGGUAGGGGUCUGGUAUCCCUUUGGAUUUCUUCUGAGGAAAUCUUUGUUGUGUUCAUUAUGGAUCAGCCAUGGGUGUGCCAUAAUGUUCAGAACCACAGGACAGUAUGUGAUUUUCUCUUUAAUUGUUGAUGUAGUAGAUUUUUAAACUCUUGGGAGAGGUGAUCAGGCAGAGAAGUUUGCAUUUGGUAAACCUGGCUUUUUGAGUUUUGAAUUCUUUCUCUGACAUGGGAGAUAUCAUAUAACUAAGUAGUAUAGUAUCAAUACAGGCCACAGCCUGUCAAGGGAAGCCCUUCAUACUCUGUGUGCCACAACACCUUGGGAAAACCGUAUCUAGUGAUAGCAUGAAGCUUGGGACCUUUCAAUUUGUAGAGGAGAGCCCUUUCUAAUCUACUGAGAUAUUGUUAUUUGUAUAAAAUUAAAAGUUAGACAUACCUAAAGAAGUAGUGAAAAUACAACUGAAGGGCUUGGGAAUAUAAGAGCAAAUCAAGACCAAACAGGAGUGAAUAAUGAUCCUAGGAUCAUAAUUUUGUUGUUUUAAACCAUAUUUUAUAUCCUAUAUUUCAUAUUCACUACAUAUUAAUUAUUUAUAAUCCAGAUUUGGAUUCUGGCUCCCUCUGGAUUUCUUCUAGGAUCCUUUCUAAUUGUCUUCAGCUUGGCGCAUCUACAGGUGUGCCAGGCCUUCCAUUAUUAUGAUUCUCUUUUUGACAACCUCUGUCCUGAAUUGAUGAAGUUCAUCAUCAAUCUCUAUUCAGUGAUGUGAUGAUAGUCGAAGUGGGGGUACAAGAUUUCAGCAUGAAAUCUACCAUGUAUUAUUUGAAUUUUAUGUCAAUUUGAAUGGGAGAUACCCAAUUAGUUCCUAGUACUAUACACCUAAACUCCAGAUGUCAGUGAUAAUUACAUCCAAAUGUGUGCAACACAGCCUUUCUGGAAUACAAUAUUCAGUCUAAAACAAACCCUGGUUCUAAUCCUGUAUGUAAUCCAUAGGGUGUGUUACUUGGAGGAUGGGCUGCUAACAUUGGAGGCUUUUAUGCUUGUGCUCUUACUCUUGUCUAUUUCCCUAGAAAAUGAAGCGAUCCUCCUCUAAAGGGGGAUGUGCUUGUGUCUAGGUUCUGAGCUAUGACUGGUCACACCUUGGGUUUUUCAUGUUUGAUGUUUGUGAAGAUGAAUACUCUGCAAACCUGCUCAGUACAGUGAAUCUUUGGAGCUGGUGCUGCUGUUCUGUCUCUCAGAUUCUCCUGUUCCUCAGAAAAGGACAAUAUCCACGCUGUGGGAAGCUUUUGCCUUAUACAUUCUGUUAAAGAAAGAAGGAGUAGACGUCACAGUGUUUCCUCAUGCCAUUUCCUCCCAUCUCCAGGCAGCUCUGGUAGACCAGGUGAAAAGAAGGUUUGAAGGAAAGGACACUUCCCCCUCAGAGUCAAUGGGAAGUUGGGAGGUUGUGUGUGUGAUUGUCUACAACUCUGCCCACUUCAAUUUGCACUGCUCAGUGACCUUCUACCUUUUAAUUCACUGUUUGCCACUACAGGGACAUAUUGUUGUUGCUUUAAAGAAUCUUGGACUUCCUGGGUUCAGUAACACUUUUAAAAGAUUCUAAUGGGAUCAGGGUUCCUUUUAGAAUUCUUCUAAGGACCUUUGAAUUUUCUGCAUCUACGGUUGAGAGUUAUCCAGUCUCUAAAACGUAGAGGAUCAAAACAAGUCCUGUAUUUUCAUAGAUAACCCACUGUAUUCUGAACACUGCAGGAGAUCAAAAUGCAGAGGUUCCACUGGAGAGCUGAGUUUUCUCCUCACACCUAAGUCACUAAAUUUAAUGAGCUCUUUAUAAGCUACUGAGAUGUUAUCUUGCUUAAUAACUCACUUAAAUAUAUGGUGGGUAUGUGAAGGAUAGACAUAUCCACAAGUGUCCCCUACAUAGCAUAUUGCAGCCUCCUCCUCUUCGGCCAGACACCCACAUUUAGUGCCACGUAUUAGAAGGUUAACUUUGCUUCCUCUUCCACAUCCAGGUAGGAUUUUCAUCCUUGUCUUGAUGACCUGCAACAGUUGUUUGAUAUGAGAAUGAUGUAGUGAUUUCAGGACCUCAGUAUCGGACAUGACCAGGGAGUCUAUAUUUGCCUUCACUAAGUAUUUGGAUGAACACAAGGUCUUAGUCCUAAGAUAGAAAGCCAAAGGUCCCUGAAACAGUGCCCAUGACAUAAUUUUUGGGAGAUGUUUUCUUCAAAGGAACUGGCUUUAAGCUCAUUUGAUAUUUUCACUAUUUCCUUCUCUUGGUAGAAGUGAUAAGGUAUACAAGUGAAUAAAUAUAUAGUUAAAUGAUAUCUUCCUGGAAUAAAUCUGUUCUAGGAAUGAUUAUAUUUACAAAUCCUAACACUACACAUCAGAGAUACCUAAAUGAACUGUAGUGCUAGGGAACUGCUAGUGAUACCCCCAUUCCCACCAAAUAAAAGACAGGAGCUGUUCUGGUGCAGUUCUCACAGCAGGACCUUUAUUUUAUAUGAGCUAGCUCGGGCCCCUCAGCUUACUACUGACUGACAGGGAGGUUUUGCAUGAAGACAGGAGCCCUGAAUGUCUACUGGUCAAGGCUUUAUAAUAAACUGCAAGCGGGGUGGGUUGUGAGUGUGCAAGCAUUGAAUUGGACAGCUACCCUGGCCUUUAACAUAAUUGGCUGGUGCUCAGGGAUCAUAUCAUAAACUUAAUUCCUGCUUUCCCUGCAUUGUUGUUCCUUAGACAGGGGCUGUGCUUGUAAUCUGGGGGUGUGUAUUUCUUGGGGGAAUAAUCUGGAGACACGGGGCUUGUUGGGGUUAAAACCUGGAGCCACAGGUAUUGUGGCUAGUUAGCCUAGAGUCUGUAGCUAGGCUCAGGUUUUCUUCAGGGGUGGUAACUUGGAAACUAAUGCCAGGUAUCAGCCUUUUAGUUUACCUGAGUUCAAACUUAAGUCAGAUCCUCCAAAAGGACAUCUGAAUUUAAAAGAUUUGGCCUCUCCUGGCCCCCAUUUCUCUUAUGACUAGAAGGCCCAAUCGUGGGCUUUUAUGAGAACAGUUACAGGGCUACGUUUUGUGCUGUCACUGGAGCAUGGGCAGGAGCUCAUCAGUGGGAGACAGCAGGGAGUUCUGAGGUUCAAUUCUCCUCCUGCUAGCCAGGCUAUUUCCAACUGCAAAUGGAUGUGCAGUGCAUUCACACUGUAACUCUGUAGCACAUGAACCCUUUCAGUGACUCUAGUGACUCCUGGCAGUGUGUGUUGACUAUGGCCCAAUCUCCAGGUUAUAGGUGGUGGAGCUCCAACUAGACAGUUGGCGUAUUUUAUGGAAAGCACAAAGUUUAAGCCAAACAUGUUUGUGUACCCACUGGAUACCCUUGAAACCAUAUAAUAAUUAGUACUCAUCUGCUUCUGUUACAACUUCUGUAAGUAGGUGAACUGAACAUAACUUUAAAAUGUGUGAGCCCCAUCUAGUAUGGGGAGUUCUGUACUCUAUAGAGAAUUAAGAGAAGAAGAGUCACCCAGUUACUGUUAGUCUUUAAGAUUAAUUUAGCUAAGGUCUCCAACAGUGUUUAUUUUAUCUUCUCUACCUCUCCUGAACUCUGGGGUCUGUAAGCACAAUGAAGUUUCCAAUGAAUCACCAGAAUAUUAGCUAAUCUCUAAUUUAACUGCGACAAAAAUAUAGGUCGAUUAUUUGACCCUACAAACUUAGAAAAACCAUAUAUUGCAAGAAUUUAUUUUAGUAUUUUAUAUAAGCAUCUGCACAUUCUAGUAUUUGGUGGGGGAAAAUCUCAGUCCAUCCUGAAAAGUUAUCUAUAUGCACCAGAAAUACUUGUAUCUGAUUUUUCCUGAGUUUACCUCAAUAAAGGGUGUUUCCUGAUAGACUCCUGUUUUUGUGCUCUGCUAUUGAGUACUAAGUUUCUGUUAACUGGCAACCACAUAGGUCAAUUGACAGGCACAGAGUGAAUGUUUUCUGAUCAAACAUGUUGCCAUUACAUGCUCUUAAAUUUGUUUCUUAAGGCAUGCCUUAUUUCCUGUUUUUAUUAUCUCAUCAAAAAGCAUCCUACUGAGUGGUUGGGAAUUUUUUCCUUUGUUACUCAUUGUGAAGACAUUGGUGAUGUGUCUUCUUCAUGGCUUAGCCAUGGGUAUGCUAUGACCUCAAUAACAGUGGGCCCUCUUUGUGUCAUUCGAAGUCAGUAAUGGAUUUAAUAGAUUUUUAUAAGAGGUGAUUCAGAAUGCAAGAUUCAGGAUAAAUUCUGCCAAUUGUUCUUGGAAUUCUUCGACAUCCUGAAUGGGACAUGGCUCAGCACUGAUCACCCCAGGGAUGGACAUUGCAAUAGGAAUCGUUUCAUGCUUUGUGCUACUAAAUCCCCAGCGCACAACACGCCCUCCAGGGCUCGCUCUGGUACUCCUAGCACAGGUGCUCCUGAGCAUCUGUUUCCCUGUAUGAGAAGAUGCUGAGGCUUCUCAGCUUGCGCGCUCACCCAGAGAUACUUGCUAGGAGGAUGUGCUUAUGUCUAGGUUCUCAGUGCUAUCAGUGAUGACAUCUGGGAUUUUUCCUGUUUUACGUCUGUGGAGAUUUUCUUGUUGACAAUAAAUCCUCGGAAUCCAUGAUGCUCUAAGUCUUUCCUCAAGUUGUGUUCCUGAAAGGAGGCUCAUGUACAUGGUGGGAUAGGUUAUGUAAGGGAAGCUCCUCUUCAAGAGGACAAAAUGAGAAAGGUAGGGGUAAUGGUUCAGUCCCUUAGAGGCAGAGGCGAGUUGAGAAAUUGUGUCUGUUUUAUUGUACAACAUAUGUAGAGUCCUAUCCUAUACAGUACUCAGAUUUGAUCUGCCAGGCUGACUUCAUAUUCGUGAUUAAAUAUAUUCCCUUUACAUGCUCAUAUUCAAAGUGCUUUGAAGCAUCUUUUAUAUCCUGGAUUUAGUAUUCAAUUAAAAAUAUUCUAGUGUGAUUCUGAAAGUCCUCUCUCAGAACUGCUUUUGAGGAUGAUGUAUUUUUGUUGUGUUGUUAUUGCUUCUGUUUUUGUUUUUUCCUAGCACAUUCACAUUUCUUAUGGCUUAUAUGACUAUGGAACAUUUUGUAGAUUCAAAUAUUCAUAGCUAAUUAGUUAAAAUUUCCUCCAACUUGUACACAAGAUAGGGAGAAUUGAAACUUUGAACAAAAAUUGCUGUUCAAUUUUUGGGUUUCUUGUGAUUUUUAAGCAGAAGUCGUACAGUAAAAAAAAAUACAGGAUGACAGUGAGCUUUGCAAUAUCAGUGGAAAGAACUUUAUACUGUGUGCCUCUGGACACCUCUAUUGAAUAUUAUUCAGUAUAACAAACACCCUGGCACAGUCAUCAGAUGUCAUCAUGAGUGUGUGUUUCCAUGAGCAUGGGCUGACAUUUUCUAAGGCUUCUAUAACUGGUCUCUCAUCCUGAAGUUUCUUGCUGCAAAAUACAAUUGAGCCUCCCUAGGAGGAUAAGCUUGUGCCUAGGUUCUGAGAGUUCCUAAGGCUCACAACUUGGAUUUGUUGAGACGGCAGCAAAGGAGAGAUAAUCUUAUAAAGAAACUAAUGAAACAUGAAAAGGGAGACGUGACUAGUGUCCUCCAUCUGAAC
ensembl:lncRNA